rnacentral:rRNA from 1 species
ACGAACGCUGGCGGCGUGCUUAACACAUGCAGGUCGAACGGUGAAGCGCCUUCCUUUUUGGUGGGUGUGGAUGAGUGGCGAACGGGUGAGUAACACGUGAGUAACCUGCCCCCUUCUUCUGGAUAACCGCAUGAAAGUGUGGCUAAUACGGGAUAUUCUGGGUCUGUCGCAUGAUGGGUCUGGGAAAGAUAUUGUUUCGGUGGGGGAUGGGCUCGCGGCCUAUCAGCUUGUUGGUGGGGUGAUGGCCUACCAAGGCGGUGACGGGUAGCCGGCCUGAGAGGGUGGACGGUCACACUGGGACUGAGACACGGCCCAGACUCCUACGGGAGGCAGCAGUGGGGAAUAUUGCACAAUGGGCGCAAGCCUGAUGCAGCGACGCCGCGUGAGGGAUGGAGGCCUUCGGGUUGUGAACCUCUUUCGCCAGUGAAGUAGGCCUGCCUCGUUUGUGGGUGGGUUGACGGUAGCUGGAUAAGAAGCGCCGGCUAACUACGUG